UACGAAGGGGGCUAGCGUUGCUCGGAAUUACUGGGCGUAAAGGGUGCGCAGGCGGUUCUGCAAGUCAGGCGUGAAAGCCCCGGGCUUAACCUGGGAAUGGCGCUUGAAACUACAGGACUGGAGUAUGGCAGAGGGAGGUGGAAUUCCACGUGUAGCGGUGAAAUGCGUAGAGAUGUGGAGGAACACCGAUGGCGAAGGCAGCCUCCUGGGCCAAUACUGACGCUCAUGCACGAAAGCGUGGGGAGCAAACAGG
rnacentral:rRNA from 1 species